rnacentral:rRNA from 1 species
AUUGAACGCUGGCGGCAGGCCUAACACAUGCAAGUCGAGCGGAUGAAGGGAGCUUGCUCCUGGAUUCAGCGGCGGACGGGUGAGUAAUGCCUAGGAAUCUGCCUGGUAGUGGGGGAUAACGUCCGGAAACGGGCGCUAAUACCGCAUACGUCCUGAGGGAGAAAGUGGGGGAUCUUCGGACCUCACGCUAUCAGAUGAGCCUAGGUCGGAUUAGCUAGUUGGUGGGGUAAAGGCCUACCAAGGCUACGAUCCGUAACUGGUCUGAGAGGAUGAUCAGUCACACUGGAACUGAGACACGGUACAGACUCCUACGGGAGGCAGCAGUGGGGAAUAUUGGACAAUGGGCGAAAGCCUGAUCCAGCCAUGCCGCGUGUGUGAAGAAGGUCUUCGGAUUGUAAAGCACUUUAAGUUGGGAGGAAGGGCAGUAAGUUAAUCCCUUGCUGUUUUGACGUUACCAACAGAAUAAGCACCGGCUAACUUCGUG